rnacentral:rRNA from 1 species
UGAGGAAUAUUGGUCAAUGGGUGCAAGCCUGAACCAGCCAUCCCGCGUGAAGGACGACUGCCCUAUGGGUUGUAAACUUCUUUUUGUAUAGGGGAAUAAACCUACCCUCGUGAGGGUAGCUGAAGGUACUAUACGAAUAAGCACCGGCUAACUCCGUGCCAGCAGCCGCGGUAAUACGGAGGGUGCAAGCGUUAUCCGGAUUUAUUGGGUUUAAAGGGUCCGUAGGCGGACUUAUAAGUCAGUGGAUGAAAGCUGUCGCUUAACGAUAGAACUGCCAUUGAUACUGUAAGUCUUGAGUAUAUUUGAGGUAGCUGGAAUAAGUAGUGUAGCGGUGAAAUGCAUAGAUAUUACUUAGAACACCAAUUGCGAAGGCAGGUUACC